UACGAAGGGUGCAAGCGUUACUCGGAAUUACUGGGCGUAAAGCGUGCGUAGGUGGUUUGUUAAGUCUGUUGUGAAAGCCCCGGGCUCAACCUGGGAAUGGCAAUGGAUACUGGCAAGCUAGAGUCCGGUAGGGGACCACGGAAUUCCUGGUGUAGCGGUGAAAUGCGCAGAUAUCAGGAGGAACACCGGUGGCGAAGGCGGUGGUCUGGGCCGGCACUGACGCUGAGGAGCGAAAGCGUGGGUAGCAAACAGG
rnacentral:rRNA from 1 species